UACGGAGGGUGCAAGCAUUAAUCGGAUUUAUUGGGCGUAAAGGGCGCGUAGGCGGAGAUGUAAGUCAGAUGUGAAAUCCCGGGGCUCAACCUCGGAACGGCAUUUGAAACUGCAUCCCUAGAGGGUAGGCGGAGAAAACGGAAUUCCACAAGUAGCGGUGAAAUGCGUAGAUAUGUGGAAGAACACCGGUGGCGAAGGCGGUUUUCUAGCUUAAACCUGACGCUAAAGCGCGAAAGCAAGGGGAUCAAACAGG
rnacentral:rRNA from 1 species